GAUGAACGCUGGCGGCGUGCCUAAUACAUGCAAGUCGAGCGAACAGACGAUGAGCUUGCUCCUCUGACGUUAGCGGCGGACGGGUGAGUAACACGUGGAUAACCUACCUAUAAGACUGGGAUAACUUCGGGAAACCGGAGCUAAUACCGGAUAAUAUAUUGAACCGCAUGGUUCAAUAGUGAAAGACGGUUUUGCUGUCACUUAUAGAUGGAUCCGCGCCGCAUUAGCUAGUUGGUAAGGUAACGGCUUACCAAGGCAACGAUGCGUAGCCGACCUGAGAGGGUGAUCGGCCACACUGGAACUGAGACACGGUCCAGACUCCUACGGGAGGCAGCAGUAGGGAAUAUUCCGCAAUGGGCGAAAGCCUGACGGAGCAACGCCGCGUGAGUGAUGAAGGUCUUCGGAUCGUAAAACUCUGUUAUUAGGGAAGAACAAAUGUGUAAGUAACUAUGCACGUCUUGACGGUACCUAAUCAGAAAGCCACGGCUAACUACGUG
rnacentral:rRNA from 1 species